rnacentral:rRNA from 1 species
UACGUAGGGUGCGAGCGUUGUCCGGAAUUAUUGGGCGUAAAGAGCUCGUAGGCGGCUUGUCGCGUCGGAUGUGAAAGCCCGGGGCUUAACUCCGGGUCUGCAUUCGAUACGGGCAGGCUAGAGUUCGGUAGGGGAGAUCGGAAUUCCUGGUGUAGCGGUGAAAUGCGCAGAUAUCGGGAGGAACACCGGUGGCGAAGGCGGUUCUCUGGGCCUGACCUGACGCUGAGGAGCGAAAGCAUGGGGAGCGAACAGG